GGUGGAUCACCUGAGGUCAGGAGUUCGAGACCAGCCUGGCCAACCUGGUGAAACCCCGUCUCUACUAAAAAUACAAAAAUUAGCCAGGCGUAAUGGUGGGCUACUCGAGUGGCUGAGGCAUAAGAAUCACUUGAACCCAGGAGGCCGAGGUUGCAGUGAGCUGAGAUCCCAUCACUGCACUCCAGCCUGGGUGACAGAGUGAGACUCCAUCUCAAAAAAAAAAGAUAAUAAAAAUAAUAAUUUUUUUUAUAAAAUACUAACUGUAUUUUGAAAUUAGAAGAAAAAGCAAAAAAUGAACAGUACCAGACUAUUUUAUGAUUAAGAGUCAAUAAAUGGUAGAAACAAGAACAAAUAUUAGAAACUUUCAUGGAAGACAGCAUUUGCAUCCUAAGGAUGUACACAGGAUUUGGACUACUGCCGGGCAGAUGUUACAGGUUGGGAAGCAGAAUGCACAUGGCUUAGAGAUGAGAAUUAUAUGAGAGUGUUGAUAGGACAAGAGGAAAACUCCCUUGCUGAAGUUGAAGUAUUCUCAUUGUGGAAUUCUGGGAAUUAAGUGUGGGCAGGAGGGUAGAUGUACAGGUAGCAGCAGACAUAACAGACUCAGGAAAGCUGGAUCAAAAUCCAGCAACAGGAAGAGCCAGGAAGAAACUGAUCUGCAGAACACAAGAGGGCUCAGGACUGCCACAGCCACACCUGGUACCAAGAAGUAAGAGCUACAAUCAAAAGGAUUAGACAAACGUCUGUUUCAGAGACAGACGCCAGCAUUCCUCUCCCUCACUGCGACCAGCUGGACCAGUUCGUUCCGAACCCAGCUGAUAUAGUUUGGGUAUUUGUCCAAAUCUUCUGUUGAAAUAUGAUUCCCAGUGUUGGAUGUGGGGCCUAGUGAGAGGUGUCUGGGUCAUGGGGAUGGAUCCCUCAUGAAUAGCUUGGUGCCCUCCCCACAGGAAUAAGUUCCCCAGAGAUCUGCUUGUUCAAGAGGUCGGGAGCUCCCUCCUCUCUCGUUCCCGCUCUAUGUGAUAAGCCUGCCCCCACUCUGCCUUCCGCCAUGACUGUAAGCUUCCUGAGCCGUCACCAGAAGCCGAUGACAGCACUUAUGCUUCCUGUAGUCUGCAGAACUGUGUCAAAGCCCACAGAAUGUAGAACACCCAGAGUGAACCCUAAUGUGAACAUGGACUUCGGAUGAUGAUGUCGGUUCAUCGAAACACCCAGAGUGAACCCUAAUGUGAACAUGGACUUCGGAUGAUGAUGUCGGUUCAUUGAAAACACCCAGAGUGAACCCUAAUGUGAACAUGGACUUUGGAUGAUGAUGUGGGUUCAUCGAUUGUACCAAAAAUGCCUCUGUGGUACAGGAUGCUGACGGUGCGGAAGGCCACGAGUGUGUGGAGCAGGGGUAUAUGGGAACUCUCUGUACCUUCCACUUAAAUUUGUUGUGAACCUAAAAUUGCUCUAAAAAAUAAAGUCUAUUAAUAAUAAUAAAAAAGAAACCUCAAAAUAACACCAAAAACCCCUCAACAACAACAACAAAAAACCUAGUUUGGUAGUUCCUAAAAAAGCUAAACAUAGAAUUGCCAUAUGAUACAGCAAUUCUACUGCUGAGUAGACUGAAAAUAGGGACUCAGACAGAUACGCGGAAGCCAGUGUUCGCUGCAGCAAGACUCCAAUAGCCAAGAGGUGGACACAAACGACCUAAGUGUCCAUCAACUGAUUCAAAACGUGACAGAUCCAUACAAUGGAGUGUUAUUGAGACAUAAAGGAACACCGUAAGGAAUACUGUUCUGAUACAUGGCACAAUGUGGAUGAACCCUGAGAAUGCCACGCUAAGUAAAAGGAGUCAGGUACAAAAGGACAAACAUGGUAUGAUUCUACUUAUAAG
rnacentral:lncRNA from 1 species